AGUCCUUUGACGCAGUGGCUAGCGUGUCGUUCUUAUAUGUCUCGCGCGCGAGGGCAUAUGGCUAUCUUUGCAAUGCGAAAGUCGCGAGUUCGAAUCUCGCAAGGACUA